GUGAAACUGGGUCCUCUGAAAAUGGGUCAAAAGGGGGAAAAGCAGGUGGUUCUGGUAGCCUUCGUGCACCCUGAUGCUCAGCACAGAUAAACCAGUUAAUCAAAAGGUAUGCAAACAGACAACACAGACAACGCACACAUAAACAGUGGGACACUAAAGCAACACUUAAUGUCACCCUGUCUUCCAGGAUCUAUAUUUCAGUCCAGCAGGUGAACUGCCGCUGAAGUUGAGCAGGGGUUCAUGUGCUGUUCAGAUCCAUUUCUCACCUCAUCAGCGCGUUCCUCCCUUCACUGCUGAGCUGAAGUUUGUAGGACUCCUGCACCCCCUGCUGACCAUCCAAGGUUCCUGCCAGGUAGCCUGUUAAAUACAGAUACUGUCAGGGCUGGACUGGCCAUCGGGCAUACCGGGCACUUGCCCGGUGGGCGCUCGUGAUUUUUCAUUUUUAUGGGCCGAUGGGGUUUUAUUUCUUUUCUUUUUUUUUUAACGGUAUAAAUGAAUAGUGGUGGAUUGGCCAGUUGGUCAUGAUCGACUCUGGGCUGGACCAAUUACAGCCCAGAGUCGAACUUUAAAGUUUAGGUGAAAAGCAACGUGAUUUCUCACGUACGACUUCAGCUAGAAAGUUGCUAAUUCAAUCAUGAAACUGAUCAAUGAUCAGCUGAUCGGCUUUUCUCUCUGCGCCAGGAAGAGGAAACCGGCGGAUGUCGCGCUAAACAACAGCAGCACGUUUAAGCUUGAUCAGCUGUUGUUAGAAUUUAUUUAAUAUUAAUUUCUAGUAUCAGCUGAUGUUUGCUGGAGCCACAGCUGUAAAGCUGCCGGUCAUGAUGUCGGUUUGUAUAUGUGGUGAGAGGGAAACAUGAAGAUGAAACCAGGAGAUGUCCUUACUGAAUCAUCAGAGCUGAACAGGUGAUGGAGAAACAGGUUUACCUUUUAGGUGACAUGAACGAGUUGAAGGGAAGUUAUGAACUGUUUCUGAGAGACAAAUAACACCAGGAUCCUUUUUUAGGUAGCUGACAGCUGGUAACUGUGCAGGGGCGGGUCUAGCAAAGUUUUGCCAGGGGGGCAGGUAGGGCAUUAACAGGGAGAGGGGGGCACAAAGAAAUACUUUUCUUUCUUAUUCUCAUUUAAAAUGUCUAGCUUUUAAUAAAUAAUUAUCUGAAUCUUACAACCAAAGUUUUCAUAUUAUGUAAAAUGUAUAGAAAUCCAUUAUUGUAUUCAGUAAAUAUUAAGUCUAGUAUAUACCCUAAGUUAUAGUAUUCUAUCCUUUGGGAAGGUACCAUCUAUGAAGUCUGCAAUUCUGCUGAAGAAAGAUGUUGAAUCUAUUUAAUAACUGGAGAAAAAUAAUAGAUUUCUGUGCAUUUGUUUUAUACGUGCAUUAAAUUAAAAUUGGUUUUGUCAAUUGAGCAUCUUGAGGCAGAGGGUGGGGGAGUGGUUCCCUAUUUUUUUUCUUUUCUUUUUUUGCUGGGAGUUGGCAACCCUAUUAGUUAGGUAUAUGUAAUUAUAAAUUAGGUUGUUUUAUAUUUUUGCUAAGUACUGUUUAGAAUACCAGAAUAGGGAGGAUGGUGUAGGUUUAAGUUUAUUAUAAAGGUUUUAUGGCUUUUCCCAUAAUACCAUGGUGGGCCGGUCACUAGUCAAAAUGCCCGGGCUGAUUUUUUUGUCCCAGUCCAGCCCUGGAUACUGUAAUCAUGUAGUCGAAAGUCUAAUCGGGAGUACGUUUUUACACAGUUCCUUUAAAACAGAAAGAGAAAAGUUCUAAUGAAUUCUGAAUGUUAACAGUAAUACUAUAACAAAGUAGGACUUGCUAUAUAUGCC
ensembl:lncRNA